rnacentral:pre_miRNA from 1 species
AAUAACUUCAUUUUUCAGUUUUUUGAUACGAUGUUUUAACUCUUCGUCUUAUUUGAAAUUUUUUUGCGAUUAAUAUUUAUUGGUGCUAGAUGAUAAAAUAUGAAUAGUACUUUAUGCAUGACUAAUUUUUAAAAGUUUUUUACAAAUUUUUUGAAAUAAGACGAAUGGUCAAACGUUGGACAGGAAAAAUAAAAAAUGAAGUUAUU